rnacentral:tRNA from 1 species
GCCCGGUUAGCUCAAUCGGUAGAGCGUGAGACUCUUAACAGUAACCUCAAAGGUCACUAGCAAUCUCAAGGUUGCGGGUUCGACCCCCGCAUCGGGCU